UCCCCUGCAGCACGAGGAUGUCACAGCCAAGGUCAUGGGCCAGCUUCACAUCAUCCGGCACUUGCACCAGAUGCCCGAGGCGCUGCAAGGGCUGUGGCUCAUCUGAUGCUCUUCAAGGUUCCCCUCCCUGUUCAGCAAGUCCCGCUCCCUGCUGCAGAGUCUGACAUGAAGAGGAGCCUCCUCCCCCCGUGUCUUCUAGGCCUUGGGGUAUGUGACAGCCUCCCAGAUGGGUGCAGUCAGAAGCUGAACCACCUCAGGGAGCAGUGGGGACAGGUCCCUUGUCCUAGGAAACCAAGCAGUGGUAGUUCUCAAAGAGGCUGAGAGGGAAGAGCCCGCUCCCUCAUGGAGCAAGAGGCUCCCCAGAGAACUCCUCAAACCUGUUCUCCUGGGAGCGUUUCUGGGAGGAGGCUCCCGUCCCUCAGUCUCCAACUCCAUCAUGCAGUCUCUUUCACCUAACAUCUCCACUCUCCAGCUCCACUUCCCGCAGCGGGACAAACGGACCUUCAGCUCCUAGAGAACAGACACUGACCUCCUUCUGAUCAGCAAUGGGUUUCACCAUCCCCUCAGCAAACCUGUCAGCCGGGCUGGACCGGAUUUGAAGGAGGAGGGUAUCUAAUAGGGUGACUUGGCCUAUGGCUGCCUAGCCUGGAGCUAGGCCAAAUUGAUGACCAAGUGAGCCCCACCUGAGAGGACACAAGGGAAAACAGCAGCAAAAGUACAGAAGCAGAGUGAGCUGUUCAGUAGACGGCCUUGGGCCAAACCCUGGAGUCCAGGGUAGGACUGGCUUCUCUCACCAUCCCUAAGGAAGGGGACAUAGAAGACCCUAGAAACCCAAGAAGGGCAGGCCGAACCGAAAUCA